GGGGGGUGUUAGUAUGGCUCUUUGCAGGGGAAGCUUGGUGGUGGUGUUGAUGCACUUGGGCAGUUGAGGUCUGUAGGGUCUGGGAGCUCUGCACUGUUUGGAAGGAGGUUGCCUUGAAUGCUCAAGUGGUGCAGCAGGGAUGUGCCGAGUUCUGCACCAAUGCUGUGGAGUGAUGGAGUUGCCAAGGAGUAAACCCUGGAUCAGAAGCAAAGAUCUCCUGCCCUGCUCUGCUGGCUGUGACCCUCCUCAGUGCUGUAUGGAAGCAGCUCAAAAGCUUUUGCUUUAGAAAAGAGGAAGGCCUGGGGCUCGCUGGAGACUGCUGCAAUGCCUGUGGCUGCGAGAAGAAAUGCUCAUUAACUGCCUUAUCUCCCCUGAGCUGCACAACAGAUUGUCUUCCAGGCAGUUAGUGGUACCCGCAGUUCUGCUGGGCUUGUGCUGGAACUACUACGAACAAACACUUUGGAAACUCCUGCGUGGAGAAUUUAUUAAUUUGUCAUUCUCUGCCAUCAGUAAAUGACUGUGGAACCUCAGAUGGUCACUGGGGCUCAGUUAGGAGGGUGGAGUUGAUAGCAUCAUAAGUUAAUUAAGGAUGAAUUGUGUAAUUGGUCAGAAAGCCCUACCACAGGAGGAGGCAGAAGACCUGGUUGCUUCUCGCCCCUGUUCUGCCCUGGGUGCCCCUGCAGCAGCCUGAGCUCUGCUGGUGACACCAUGAGCUGGAAAGGUCCAAUGCUGCAUUGCAAUGCAGUGUCUGCAGGUGCAUGUGUAUUUUGUAUGGAAAAAGCAUCUUAAGUGGCAAACCUAAGAAUUUUAAUGUAUCCUCCUUGCAGCUAGUUUUUUCCGUGUUUGUUUCCCCUUCAGGCCUCUCCUCUGCAAUUAGAAGUGCUUUGCUGAGAUGUCUUUAAUGCUUGCUAAAUUACCUCGUUUGUUUUGCUUUGGAGAUGGAGCUGUUUGCUAACACAUACUGCUUGCUGCUCUGCAGUAGCAGGGGCUUUUGCUUUUGGCACCACAUUUAAAAUGCCUUCCCCCCCACCCCCCCAUCUUGUAGAUAAGGUCUCUAAUGCUAUGUGAAAUUAGAAUAUGGAUUAGAUUAGAGGAAUGAGCUGAGAGUUGCUGGUUUCAUUCUCAUUUCAAUUGUGCUGGGCUAUAGGAAAGCCCCAGUAAUGCUUACUGGUUUCUAGGCAUCGAAAUUUGCAAAUCUGCCCCAAUCUUGUCCAAGCAGCACAAUGAGGUUCUGCAGCGUGCUUUGUUCCAUGCCCCUGCCAUCCAUUAUAACUAAUGCUCCCCGUCUCCCUUAACUCCCAAACGCAUUCAUCCUGCUGUGCAGAAAGCUGCUCCCUUUUGUUUUCCUCUUACCCAGCCUGGUGUCUCCUUUACAGAUAAGUGGUCUGAAACGAAUGCCAUCUGGGUGCUGGCAGAGCAGCUGCCCUGCUGGUAGGAGGUCAGGGGUGAAGGAAAUAUGUGUGAUUUAACGAAUGUUCCAUGUCAUGAGUGGAAACAGAGUCAGUUUGUCUUAAGAAGCAGUGUGGGCAAGCCUCUGUCAGACAGCGGAGGAGCAAAGAGCCCUGAGUCAAUGUCUUUCCCUGCCAAGAACUCCUCUCUUGGCUUGCAAAGCUGCCCAGGGCAGAGGCACCCCAAACAGAGGCCUCCUUGGCUGCUGCUUCAUUUCCUCUUUGCUCUUGAAGUCAGUGGCCAAAGCACCACUGGGUCUCAGGAUUUCAGGCACAAUGAUGCAGACCCACGAGCUCUGCAGCAAUCUGCAGCCUUCCUCUCUGCAUCCAGUUGUGGUGCGGCCUCGUUUGGAAAACCCUUUUGGCCCCUGGGUACGAAAGCAAAGGAUGCACCUUCCCUCUUCAUUAUAUCAUUAGCAGUAAUUAUUCUUCCCCUCCAAACGUAGUGCUUUUCUCUUUAGGAGAAUUUGUUCUCAUUCUCACUUCCAUCCUUUAAGUGCUAUUUUCUGUUUUAUUUUUAAUUGAAAGGCUGGAGGGCAAAUGCAAUUAAGCUGUAGUGCAUGGACUGUAACUUGUAUAUAAAUAAAAAAAAAAAUCACCUUGCCAUCUGCAAUUUGCUUGUUUUCUGAUCUGUGGUCCGUUACAAUUCCAAAUCUUGGUUCUCAUGAUCAGAACAAAUGAGAGCAAAUUGCAGAGGACUGGGAGGAAAUAGAGUGAAUGUAUUUGUGUCCCUUAUCUAGGGGGAAACACAGGUGUGCUGUACAGGGGUCCAGCUCUGAAUGCAGUUUGUGGAAACGAUGUGAGCUGGGUGUCCUUUAGAAUAAAUCCCUCCCAGGGCCUUAGAAUAAACCCCUCCAGGGCUACCUGCCCUUUUCCAUGCAGACCUCGCUCCCUUGUAGCUGAGGGCAGCAGGGAGGAUGGAGUGACCCGCUGCUAUUGCUAAUAGAUAGGAUCAAUGAUACGAAGCAUAUCAUCCUUCUUCAUUUCCUCAUCAUGUUGAAAUCAAUAUGCUGCCUUGCCCAGAGGGCUCUUCUGCAGGCUGAGCUCAUCCGUUACUGCACUCCACCUCCUGGAUUUACACCAAAUGUUCCAUUUCUCCCAUGUAACAAAUGGGCCGCGUGUCAGCGCUGCUGAUCGCAUCUCGGGCUCUGUAACCUCUGAGCAACCGCACCAGAAUGAUUCUAUAAGGGUGUCUGCAUGCAUUAGUGAUUUAUCCAAGGAAUCGUGUACUCUCCCGUUAUGACUCAGUCUGGCAGUUUGUCACUGCAGAAAGUGAGAAAAGCAUGGCUGCCUUCAACUGAAAUCAUGUGUGCCUAUGAGAAAAGUGUGAAAGGGUAGGGCACAUUUAAAUAAUGGUUAGAGAGGAAUAAAAGCUCAGCGAGUGCUGGAAAAAGUACUCUUGAGUUACUG